UAACUGUUUUUUCAAGUUUAUUUUUAACCUGGAGGGAUAUACUUCUCCCCCACCCCCAGUCCUUAACUCGUAUCCCUUCUACGGCGUCCACGUCGAACGGGUUUCAUUUGCUUUGGACCGAGUUGCACAAAACGUUCCGGAUCGUUCGAUGGUAUUGAUGGAAGACCUCAGGCGGGGAAGUGUAUUAAGUGCCUUGCCAAGUACAGUGAAGCUGAGUGGGUGGAGAGAUGGAGAGAACGGCUACCGACGUAAGCCGAGGAUUACCCUUUCGCAAAUCUGCGCACCAACCUUUGGGAACCUUUCCCAUUCAUUCGUGUUGUUGCAGUUCCUCGGAAGAGAAUAUUCAGCAUGGAUAUCGACCCGCAUUUCUCAUUCUCGAGCUCUUCGCCUCCAGAGGAUUGCAAUCCUAUUCUUCCAUUGGACGCGACGGGCGUUCUAUUUAGGGAACCCGCGUUCUAAGCGGCUUACCCGCUGCUCUCCUCCCAGUAGGGUCAUCGGAGACUUUUCCGUAACUGGAAUCUAUGUUUCUCUUGGGGAUGAGCCACUUGCUCUAAUUCCAUCCAUUUAAUUAAGCCAACUAGUGCUACAAUCCACAAGAGAACACGCUUCACUUAAGACCUCUCCAUCAUAAAUAUUCUCAUGAAACCAUCCACUAGAAGCCAUGAGGAUCACAUUUCUGUUAUAAAAAACACACAAAAACUUU